UGUCGUCAGCUCGUGUCGUGAGAUGUUCGGUUAAGUCCGCUAACGAGCGCAACCCUCGUCGUAUGUUAUAUGUGUCAUACGAGACUGCCGGUAAAAGCCGGAGGAAGGUGAGGAUGAUGUCAAGUCAGCAUGACCUUUAUAUCCAGGGCUACACACACGCUACAAUGGUCUGUACAAUGGGUAGCCAAGCCGCGAGGCGGAGCCAAUCCUGAAAGCAGGCCUCAGUUCAGAUUGCAGUCUGCAACUCGACUGCAUGAAGCCGGAGUUGCUAGUAACCGCAGGUCAGCAAUACUGCGGUGAAUACGUUCCCGGGUCUU
rnacentral:rRNA from 1 species